GAUGAACGCUGGCGGCGUGCCUAAUACAUGCAAGUCGAGCGAACGGACGAGAAGCUUGCUUCUCUGAUGUUAGCGGCGGACGGGUGAGUAACACGUGGAUAACCUCCCUAUAAGACUGGGAUAACUUCGGGAAACCGGAGCUAAUACCGGAUAAUAUUUUGAACCGCAUGGUUCAAAAGUGAAAGACGGUCUUGCUGUCACUUAUAGAUGGAUCCGCGCUGCAUUAGCUAGUUGGUAAGGUAACGGCUUACCAAGGCAACGAUGCAUAGCCGACCUGAGAGGGUGAUCGGCCACACUGGAACUGAGACACGGACCAGACUCCUACGGGAGGCAGCAGUAGGGAACCUUCCGCAAUGGUCGAAAGCCUGACGGAGCAACGCCGCGUGAGUGAUGAAGGUCUUCGGAUCGUAAAACUCUGUUAUGAGGGAAGAACAUAUGUGUAAGUAACUGUGCACAGCUUGACGGUACCUAAUCAGAAAGCCACGGCUAACUACGUG
rnacentral:rRNA from 1 species